rnacentral:rRNA from 1 species
AUUGAACGCUGGCGGCAGGCCUAACACAUGCAAGUCGAACGAGCGGCGGACGGGUGAGUAAUGUAUGGGAAACUGCCUGAUGGGGGGGGAUAACUACUGGAAACGGUUGCUAAUACCGCAUACAAUCCGAUGUCCCCAGACGGGAUUAGCUAGUUGGUGGGGUAACUGCGUACCAAGGCGACGAUCCCUAGCUGGUCUGAGAGGAUGACGAGCAACACUGGAACGGAGAGACGGUCCAGACUCCGACGGGAGGCAGCAGUGGGGAAUAUUGCAAAAUGGGCGAAAGCCUGAUGCAGCAAUGCCGGGUGUAUGAAGAAGGCCUUCGGGUUGUAAAGUACUUUCAGCGGGGAGGCGUUACCCGCAGAAGAAGCACCGGCGAACUCCGUGCCAGCAGCCGGGGUAAUAC